UCGCCUGGGAUCGGCGAGGUCUGGAGUUCCUGUCCAAAGUCGCUCUCUGCACACCGACCUCGAAACCCACAAAGUAGCGGGGCACUUGGGUGAAACCGGGACCGAGUCCUGCCGGGAACCCCGGGACGGGGCGGAAGCGAACCCCGGGCAAGGCGCGGCCGGAGCCCCCUUGGCCUCGCUUCUUCCGCGUGGCAGGCGGGCUCCUAUGUCAGUCGCCGAGCCCUGCCCGGAAAGUCCGGUGCGCCCGGCCCUUCCGAGUCAGAAUCGGGCUGUACUCAGCUCCAGUUACUGCUGCAACAGGAAGUCGGGAUUCCCUGCCAGACCGAAAGUCUCAGCGGGUGGAUGCCCCUUGCCCUCACAGCUCGCUGGCUCGCUGGCUCGCUGGGGUUGGUGGUUCCCGACCUCCCACAGCAUCACCUGGGCUGCGCGGGUUCCCACCGGUUCUCCUGGAAGGCCCAGCCCGGGCGACCCACCGGGAUCCAGCACCCGGUGCCACGGUCCUCUCUGCGGGCUGAGGAGAAAGGGCGCCUUUGGGAAAGAGACAACAAUAGCCCAGACCCAGCGAGUGCAGAACUGCCCAGCCGGCUGCCUGUGGAUCUGCCAAGUCUCCGCAUUUGACUGAAGACUUUCUCCCCCACCCCAGCUCUGUCUCUCUGUGUGACUCUGUGCAUCUCUUGGGGUCUGGCUGUGUGUGUGUGUGUGUGUGUGUGUGUGUGUGUCCUGUUUUUGCUUUCCCUUGAUGUUGCUAUCCCCGCCCCUCUCCCCCCUCCUCUCUCCUCACCAUGUAGUACACUCUGGCAUUUAUUUAACUAUCAAUUGCCUAUUUGUUUAUUUGCUGGGCUAUUUCUGUGCCAUCUAGUAACUGCCUGCUCGUAGCUUGCAUUUCUCUGAGUGGUCACUGUGGCCUGUUUUGCCUGUUGUUUGCAGCAGUCUUUACGAAGAGGACCCUAAAAUCCCCUUGCACUUCAGCCCCACCCACUGCAGCUCUUUGCUCCUUUUCUGUAGCGCUCGGGUACCCCCUCCCCAAGUCCCCAAGCAGCCCUUUCUUCGCUUCUUGGCACUGCCUGGGACUCUCAUGCAUGCCUGCUUCUCUUUCUCUUCCUCUUCUCUCUCUGCACCGCCAGACCCCUCCCCCUGGCCUGUAAAUCCAGCCUUUUUCUUUCUCUUUUUCCUUCUUCCUCACCAAACCUUAAUAAAACACUGUAAACAUAUCUGUUUGCAGGUUGCUUGUCUUUAUAGAGUGUCUCUAAAGCCUUGGAAAUUGAGGAGUGGAGAAAAGAAAGAAUUCAUACUUUAAGACUGGCAUGGAGCUGGCAUCCCUGCCAACAGCUCCGUCCCUUUAACACUUUUUUUCCAAUAAGCCCUUUUGUGACAGCGUCUGCUCUAGGGAAAGCUUAGCUGUAUCCCUCCUGCACUGUGUCGGGGUGACAGAGCUGAGCCUAGGCUCCCCACACCCAUCCCCUGCCCCUGCCAGACAGAGGAGGUAGGGUAGAGUGUAGGCCUUCACAUGGAAGGUGUUUCUCUCAAGGCCAGAAAACAGUAUGUUCUAGAGGACUCUAGCCUUGCAGUAGAGGGGAAAUUUUGACUUGGAAUUGUGGGAAAAGCAAUCCUAUGCUGUUCAUUAGGACGGAUCUUAGAAUUCCCAGAGUGAGGCAGUCCAGGGCUGUCCAUAGGAUGACGCCAGGCACGCACCCAAGCUAUCCCAGUGGGCAGCACAACCAGGGCAAGGGAUCCCCGCUCCGUUCCUUCUUUUCCUCUUAUGUAGCAUACAGGCCCAUAGUGGCAGCCCUAAAGGGAGUAGGGCCAUCUAGCCCAAGAAGGGUACAAAAGCAGAAGUAGGACAUUUCCCCUGGUUGUUCGGUUGCUUGGAGAUAUGGGCAAUGCUCAGAAACACUGCUGUCAGGAAGUACAUGGAGGGAGCUGGACACGCCGGGCGUGGCACAGCACAUUUUCCACGAGGAGGCCCUGGGUUCAUCCCCGGCACCACUAAAGGUUUUGUUUAAAGCGCACAUGUGCACAUAUCCUUGCUUGUAUGUGUGUGGCUUUAGUUGGUGAUGACAACUGGGUAGAAGAGGGAGAAGUUUGAAGUGGACACGUGGCUCUGCCACUGUGGGCAGGCCCAACCUUGCCUCACAGUGGUGUUCCAGAUUCAGUGGCCUCUGUGUACGUGGAACAGCCAAGAGCCAAGUCUGACGUGGGCCUGUGUCCCAUAGAUGGGUCCGCGCCCCUUUCCCUCCUUCCCUUCCUUUCCUGCUUCCUUUUCCCCUCUCUCCUUCCUCACUGCACUGGCUUUCUCUUCGAGCUUUCCGAAAGCACCUGCACAAGACAAGUCUUCCAAAUUGGCCUAAUUUCAGGUCCUGAGGGGACCUCGCUGCUGCCUGACCCGGGCCUGGUGACACCUCGAGCUGGGCGUGACUGCCAUCGUUUGUCCUUCCUGGGCUUAGUGGCCGCUACUCUUCCACCGCCUCCGAUAGGCUCUUUCUUUUCAAAGUCAAGAGGAAGAAGACCUCACCUAGCAUCCAACCCCUCUCCAGUAUCCAGCCACGUGAAUGCUUUCCCAUCCCCGUGUCUUUCCUGCGGGACAUUGGACUCUCCUGUGGCCAAAAAGCCCAAGGAAGGAGAAGCAGAACAGAAUACGCUUCAGUGAACUCUGGUGCUGACCCACAACUUCCCGAGUGGGAACGCUGUUUUCUUGGUAUUUUGACCUUGUCAGAAUGACUGAUUUUCUUUUCUUUUCUUUCUUUCCUUUUUUUUUUUUUUUCUUUUUCUCCUCCAAAGGAGUCCCUCGCUAGCUAAGCUGCGUUCCUCUAGCAGUGAUUCGGAGGACAAACCUGUGUGUCUGGAAGCACUCACUGGUUGGAGGUGCUUGGCCUGCCCUCACUGGUGCUGGGAUGCCUCCUCUUGCUCUGUCUUCCCCAGAGGCUGAACACGCCUGUGAGCCGAGGUGGGGGCCCGCAGUUGCAUGUUAGGAGAAUGAACACGUAAAAGUAUCUCUGGCUUCCUUUUUCCCAGCUUUUACUGUCCGCCCUGCAGUGUAGCCCAUGUCCACACUUCCCUGGCUUCCUGUGCUAUUUUCCUGUUUUAUCAUGGCCUUAACAGCCAUGGCAUCGAAGCACAUGUUAGAAGGGGGAAACCCCUCGGGUCCCUUCCCAGCACCUCUGAUCAUCUUGCUCUUCUCUCUGCUUCUCUGUUUUCAUCAAAUCCCUCUGCUACUUAGGACGUGGAUAUAGCAAUGUGUUUCAUCUUUUUCCCUUUUUGGGCAUUCCUACGUCCGCAUGCCUCCUUUCUGUGAAUUGCGGAUGCAGCUGUCUGUCCUUCUUGGGAGCCCUUCUCAGUACAACUUUCAGCCACACAUGCACCAGCUGCCCUUGGGCAGUGAACAACCUGCACAACUGAACAUGGGCACUCUAACUCCCAUUCUGAAGACAGGGGUGCUAGUAAGCACUUGGUCAUUUAGCAGUGUCCCUGAAAUGGAAAUGCCCAUAAACUGGGAUUUAGAAGAGUAGCAGCUUUUGUAGCCUUCCAAAGCUUUAUCCUUUUGGGGAUCUUGUCCAGGAGGAAGCCUGAGGUUAUGUUUUAUUAUUUUGUCUUUGACCUACAGUCUGCAUCUGUUAAGGUUUUGUUGCCACACCAAUGGAAGGAAGGCACUUGUCACUGCAAAGGGUACAGUGGGCAUUAUUGUUUUAGUAAGAACCCCUAUCUCUUUGUCUCUCUGUUCUUUGCUUGACUUUGUGUCUAGUUGGCCACUUUUUGUACUAAGCCAGCCGCUCACUUUUGGCCCAGCUGACAAGUGGCGCUAUUCUAAAGUUGGUACUGCUGCCUGCAGAUCUCUGGUUUACCAGAACAUGCGCAGUGUAGACCCCACUGCCAGACCAGCAUGUCCAGAGCCAUGUCACUCUGAGCCGGUAAUGCAGUCACCGUCUACAGUGUCCUGCCCAAGAGACAGUUGCUUGUAACUGCUAAGUUACAACAGUUUUGUGCUGAUCUUUCCCACACAACAAGGAGCCUCUCCAUGCAGGAGUCCUCGGAGGAAAUAACUCUGUCCUCUGCGGUGGUUCUCAAGCCCAUCUGUAUGUUAGAAUUACCUGGGGGGUUUGAAAGUAUUACCAGUGCCUGGGCCUCACUCAGCCUAAUUAAAUCUGAAUCUCUAGGGCUGGUGGUGUGAGCACUGGUAUUCUUAAGGCUCCCGUAAGUGGUGCUAAUGUUUAGCUAGGGUUGGAGAUACGUACUGAUUUAUAGGUCAUGAAAGCAGGCAUCGUAGUGCAUCAUGCUUACUCCCUUACUCAGUGUGUAGCAAAUUCUUCCAGUGGGUGGGGC
rnacentral:lncRNA from 1 species